rnacentral:rRNA from 1 species
GGAGUCGGUUACGUCCCAUCCUCCGGGCCGGCGACUUCCGCUCUUGCCUUCCGUGAACUUUGAUACAAACAUCGCGGGAAUGUUCCCCUCAUACGCGUUCAAUGCACGCGAGGGCGCCUGCGGUUUUACUGUGACUAAAAAAGCGCGACCAAAGCAGUCGUACGACAUGAAUUUGAAAGCAUGGGAUAACAAAGUAGCAGCCUACGGGUUACCGUUUCGGCUUUUGUUGGUUUUAAAGAUCUGUGGGAGAUUAUGGACUCGCAUGACCAGUUCGUGGUUUCGGCCCCGUUCUUCCGGCGUUUGGGUUAUCCAAUUCAGGCGUCGGCUUGCGUUGUCCAGGAAUGAAGGAGGGUUGUUCGGGGGAGAACGUACUUGGGCGUGAGAGGUGAAAUUCUUAGACCGCCCAAAGACGAACUACAGCGAAGGCAUUCUCCAAGGAUACCUUCCUCAAUCAAGAACCAAAGUGUGGAGAUCGAAGAUGAUUAGAGACCAUUGUAGUCCACACCACAAACGGUGACCCCCACGAAUUGGGGAGUAUUUGGUUGCGGUGAAGCAAGCUCGCUUGCUGAUCCCGCCAAAAGAGAAUA